CUUUAGUGGCUCCUAACUGAUUCUGUCACUGUGAAAUCCUACAGUCAUUCUUCCACACAUAAAGGACAAAUAGGCAGGAGAGGAGGAUCUAGAUGCUUUCAGUUUUAACUCUUCACCAAUAGUAGAAAAGGCAGAAUGCCUAAGCUAUGGUUCUGUGGCCAAUAGGAAGACUGCGUGCCUCUCACAUGACUGCCUGUCCCUGCCUUUCGCAUGGGCUCUAAUUUAGUUCAAUUCAGAACUGCAGAUAGUACGGUGGAGCAGGGAUCCCUGAGCACAAGUGGCCGAGUUCCGAGGGACUUUAGGAAAUGCUUCUCCCCCCCUUCCUGGGCAUGCAAACAAGGUUCUGCACCUGCACCGCAGUUUGUCCGAGAGAGAAGCCUCUGCCUCGCCUCGCCUCGCCCGCGGGGACAAGGAACUAGAGCAAGAAGCAGCAUUUGAAAAUUGCUCUGGAUUCAAGGACCAACACAUCUCAUGACGGAGAAAGAAGGCAGCUCCAUCGACAUGUUCAAAGGCCAUCCAGUAGGAACCACAGCCAUGUGCAUGUCCCUGAGGAACUUAAAGAGCAAAAUCAGGAGAUGGAUGGAGUCAGGUGACUACAGACGUGGCUGCUGGAAUCAGAGCCAGGAAGAGUAGACGGCCAGAGCCUGGUAAGAAGAACCCCACUCCUCAGGAUGUGCUGUGUGGCAUGGUGUGGAGUCCUGACUGAAUCCCUUCCCCACUCAGUGACCGUGUCCUAA